rnacentral:rRNA from 1 species
GACGAACGCUGGCGGCGUGCCUAAUACAUGCAAGUUGAGCGCUGAAGGUUGGUACUUGUACCAACUGGAUGAGCAGCGAACGGGUGAGUAACGCGUGGGGAAUCUGCCUUUGAGCGGGGAACAACAUUUGGAAACGAAUGCUAAUACCGCAUAAAAACUUUAAACACAAGUUUUAAGUUUGAAAGAUGCAAUUGCAUCACUCAAAGAUGAUCCCGCGUUGUAUUAGCUAGUUGGUGAGGUAAAGGCUCACCAAGGCGAUGAUACAUAGCCGACCUGAGAGGGUGAUCGGCCACAUUGGGACUGAGACACGGCCCAAACUCCUACGGGAGGCAGCAGUAGGGAAUCUUCGGCAAUGGACGAAAGUCUGACCGAGCAACGCCGCGUGAGUGAAGAAGGGUUUUGGAUCGUAAAACUCUGUUGGUAGAGAAGAACGUUGGUGAGAGUGGAAAGCUCAUCAAGUGACGGUAACUACCCAGAAAGGGACGGCUAACUACGUG